rnacentral:rRNA from 1 species
GUACACGCUGUGACUAGCAUAUCAAUAAGCGGAGGAAAAGAAACUAACAAGGAUUCCCUUAGUAACGGCGAGUGAAGCGGGAAGAGCUCAAAUUUGAAAUCUUCAAGGUUUUACCUUGACGAAUUGUAGUUUAAAGAAGUGUUUUCUGCUGAAGUUUUGGUAAAAGUUCUUUGGAAUAGGACAUCAUAGAGGGUGAGAAUCCCGUAUUUGACCAUUAUUUUCAGCUUUGUGAUACACUUUCAAAGAGUCGGAUUGUUUGGGAAUGCAGUCCAAAAUGGGUGGUAAAUUUCAUCUAAAGCUAAAUAUUGGCGAGAGACCGAUAGCGAACAAGUACCGUGAGGGAAAGAUGAAAAGAACUUUGAAAAGAGAGUUAAACAGUACGUGAAAUUGUCAAAAGGGAAGCGUUUGACACCAGUGUUGUUUUCCUCGAAAAUCAAUUAAAAAAUGGCUCGGAUUUUGUAGUUGCUAUGACCUUUAUAAGCUUCACUGUACAUUUUUCGUGUCUUUUUUAAUGCACUUUUCGUUUAACAAGUCAACAUCAGUUUCUUUUGUUGUAAAAGGGUCAUUGGAAGGUGGCUUUCUUUUCGGAGAAAGUGUUUAUAGCCUUUGGCCUCUGCAAUCGAAGAGACUGAGGUCUGCAGCGUAGACUCUUCGGGGUUAGAUACAUUUGUGCUAAGUUAUAGCUUUUUAUAGACAACUUGUUGACUAUAAUUAGUCUUGUAGCUUACUCGCUUAUGCUAUUUUACCUACGCUUAGGAUGUUGAUCUACAGAGCGAGAGU